rnacentral:rRNA from 1 species
UACGAAGGGUGCAAACGUUGCUCGGAAUUAUUGGGCGUAAAGAGCUCGUAGGCGGUCUGUCGCGUCGGAUGUGAAAGCCCGGGGCUUAACCCCCGGGUCUGCAUUCGAUACGGGCAGACUAGAGUGUGGUAGGGGAGAUGGAAUUCCUGGUGUAGCGGUGAAAAUGCGCAGAUAUCAGGAGGAACACCGGUGGCGAAGGCGGGAUCUCUGGGCCUAACUGACUCUGAGGAGCGAAAGCGUGGGGAGCGAACAGGAUUAGAACUUACCGUAGUCA